CCAAUAGCAUAUAUUAAAGUUGUUGCAGUUAAAAAGCUCGUAGUUGAAUUUCGGGACUAAUAUGUCGGUCGUACUUUGUACGUACUAGCAUUAUUGGUUUCUCCCUUCUGACGAACCACGAUGUUAUUAAUUUGGUGUCAUGGGAAAUCAGGACUGUUACUUUGAAAAAAUUAGAGUGUUUAAAGCAAGCUCGCGCUUGA
rnacentral:rRNA from 1 species